rnacentral:rRNA from 1 species
AUGAACGCUGGCGGCGUGCCUAAUACAUGCAAGUCGAGCGAACAGACGAGGAGCUUGCUCCUCUGACGUUAGCGGCGGACGGGUGAGUAACACGUGGAUAACCUACCUAUAAGACUAGGAUAACUUCGGGAAACCGGAGCUAAUACCGGAUAAUAUAUUGAACCGCAUGGUUCAAUAGUGAAAGACGGUUUUGCUGUCACUUAUAGAUGGAUCCGCGCCGCAUUAGCUAGUUGGUAAGGUAACGGCUUACCAAGGCAACGAUGCGUAGCCGACCUGAGAGGGUGAUCGGCCACACUGGAACUGAGACACGGUCCAGACUCCUACGGGAGGCAGCAGUAGGGAAUCUUCCGCAAAGGGCGAAAGCCUGACGGAGCAACGCCGCGUGAGUGAUGAAGGUCUUCGGAUCGUAAAACUCUGUUAUUAGGGAAGAACAAAUGUGUAAGUAACUAUGCACGUCUUGACGGUACCUAAUCAGAAAGCCACGGCUAACUACGUG